rnacentral:lncRNA from 1 species
CUCUCCCUCUCAUAAAACUAAAACAAAUUUAAUUGAAUUCUCACAGGGGAGGUUAAAUACUAAAUGACUGCUUAAACAAACCCUAACCAACAUGGGGAUUUGUGUUUCCAAACCCUCCCCUGAACCUGAUUUACACAAUCACCACACCUCUAUUCCAGUCAAACACACCUCUAUUCCGGUCAACGACACCUCUAUACCGCCCCAGGAUAACUCUAUUCCACCCAAGGAUAUU